GACGAACGCUGGCGGCGUGCCUAAUACAUGCAAGUCGAACGAGAGCGACCGGUGCUUGCACUGGUCAAUCUAGUGGCGAACGGGUGAGUAACACGUGGGUAACCUGCUCAUCAGAGGGGGAUAACAUCCGGAAACGGGUGCUAAAACCGCAUAGGUCUUCGAGCCGCAUGGCUUGAAGAGGAAAAGAGGCGCAAGCUUCUGCUGAUGGAUGGACCCGCGGUGCAUUAGCUAGUUGGUGAGGUAACGGCUCACCAAGGCCGUGAUGCAUAGCCGACCUGAGAGGGUGAUCGGCCACAUUGGGACUGAGACACGGCCCAAACUCCUACGGGAGGCAGCAGUAGGGAAUCUUCCGCAAUGGACGCAAGUCUGACGGAGCAACGCCGCGUGAGUGAAGAAGGUUUUCGGAUCGUAAAACUCUGUUGUUAGAGAAGAACAAGUGCUAGAGUAACUGUUAGCGCCUUGACGGUAUCUAACCAGAAAGCCACGGCUAACUACGUG
rnacentral:rRNA from 1 species